CACGGGGGGAGCAAGCGUUGUUCGGAAUCACUGGGCGUAAAGGGCGUGUAGGCGGUCAGGUUAGUGAGAUGUGAAACGCCUCGGCUCACCCGAGGACCUGCAUCUCAAACUGCCUGGCUUGAGUAUGGGAGAGGAUGAGGGAAUUCCUGGUGUAGCGGUGAAAUGCGUAGAUAUCAGGAGGAACACCUGCGGUGUAGACGGCUAUCUGGACCAUGACUGACGCUGAGGCACGAAAGCGUGGGUAGCAAACAGG
rnacentral:rRNA from 1 species